rnacentral:rRNA from 1 species
UACGAAGGUCCCAAGCGUUGUUCGGAAUCACUGGGCGUAAAGGGUGCGUAGGCGGUUUGGUAAGACAGGUGUGAAAUCCCCGGGCUCAACCUGGGAACUGCAUUUGUGACUGCACAGCUGGAGUGCGGCAGAGGGGGAUGGAAUUCCGCGUGUAGCAGUGAAAUGCGUAGAUAUGCGGAGGAACACCGAUGGCGAAGGCAAUCCCCUGGGCCUGCACUGACGCUCAUGCACGAAAGCGUGGGGAGCAAACAGG